GCGAGCUCAGCGUGGACAGAAACCACACGUCGAGCAAAAGGGCAAAAGCUCGCUCGAUCUCGAUUUUCAAAGUGUACUGGAUGUAAAUAUU
rnacentral:ncRNA from 1 species